AAACAUCUUCUAAACACCCAAACUCUGUCGUCACAUCCGUCGAUAUCCUCCGCCUCACAUCUUCAAAACCUCCCUUCACAACCUCCCUUUUCACAUCGAUAACCACCACCAAAAUUAUUCAAUAACCUCUAUCUUCCACGUGAAACAACCCUCUGAUAUGCUCUCUUUCCCUCCUUUGUUAAACCACAAACGCAUCUUCAGCCUCCCACGAAACCGC
rnacentral:lncRNA from 1 species